rnacentral:snRNA from 1 species
GGACGUGAGAGUAAUCUGACUGCUACAGUUGCCACCCCAUCAAUUGCCAGGGUUGAUUCACCUGCUAUGUCUGGCUAGGAGAGUGUCAUUUCAUCCUCCACCACUCUGCGCAAUACCAUCCUGGGUGCUUAGAGGAAGAGGAUGACGAUUCCACUUAGCAGGAGUGCACUGUUGUUUGGUCAAGUAUGCAUGAUAGCUGCUUUUCCCUGCUUGAAUAACCAUACAGAACCUCUGCUCCUCCAGAUGUUGUUGGAAUCCAAUUCUCACCAGUUAGAAAGAUCCUGUUUGGGUAAACCAAUGACA